rnacentral:lncRNA from 1 species
AUGAAAAGCUUGUGUUCUAUGAGGUUUAUAUAUAUUUAUAUAUUUAGUACAGAGUACUUUCAGGAGAGCUGGGCUAGAAUUUGGUUUCUCCAUGUUCUUUCCAGAUACCAUACUUCCCAGUUGUUCCAGAUGUUCCAAGUGAGGAAAUCUUGUCAUUUAUGGGAUAACUGGCUCCCUAAAAGGACAUUUUCAAAGGGAUGCCAGAGCACAACGAAUGCUCACGGUGCCUGUAUGCUUCUCCUUCCAGCUCAACUGGAAUCAUCAGAGAUAGAGCAGUUGUUCAAAAAGUCUCAAGAGUUAAAAACAACAACAACAAUACAAAGAGAUGAGACCUGGUCUGAGGAACUUUGAGGAAGAAGGAAGAAUUGCCAACCUCAGAGAAGGGCUUUGUUUGGAAACUGCCUCAGUCAGUUUGAACCAGAGGAGCCUUGACUUUUAAUCAACCCAGAGAAGGGAAGGACAGAGCACCUCCAUAAAGAGGAAAAAGCAGUUUUACAUGGAAUUAUCAUUAGGACUUUGUUUCAAAAUCAGCUAUAAAAAGGAUAUGUGGAUAAAAAUGAAACAUGCUAUAAAUUUAAAAAUAUAUGCACCAAAACAAUCUUGAAAAAGAACAAAAUUGAAAGACUCCUGCCUUCUGGUUUCAAAACUAACCAUAAAGCAACAAUAAUCAAGAUAUUAUGGUACUGGUAUAUGGAACAGACAUAUAGGUCAGUGGAGAUAAUCCAGACAGCCACAUGUGAAGAAUGAAGUUGGAUCCAAACCUCACAGCAGAUACAAAAAUUACCCAAAAUGGAUCAAAGGCCAAGUGUAAAGGGUAGAAUUAUAAAACUUUUGGAAGAUACCGUAGGAGUAAAUCUUUGUGAUCUUGUAUUUCAUAAUCGUUUUCUUAGAUAUCACACCGAAAGCACAAGCAGCAAAGGAAGAAACAGACAAAUUAGACUUUAUAAAAAUGAAUAACCUUUUUGUUUCACAGGAUACUAUCAAGAAAUUGAAGGGACAGCCCCGAGAAGGAACUUGUAUCUAGAAUAUGUAAAGAAUUUUUACAGCACAAUAAUAAAAAGACAACCCAAUUUGGAAAGAGGCUAAGG